rnacentral:tRNA from 1 species
GCGACUGUGGUGAAGUGGUUAACACAGCGGAUUGUGGUUCCGCCACGCGUGGGUUCGAUUCCCAUCAGUCGCC